GUGCUUGCUGUAGCAGUAUAAAUACUGAAAUUGGAACAAAACGGAGAUUAUCGUGACACUUGUGCAAGAAUGACACAAAUUCAUAAAUCAUUUGAUAAUUUU
ensembl:snRNA U6 U6 spliceosomal RNA